CGUCAGUUGAACGUUGGAGCAAGGCAGUGGAAGCCUUGGCAUGUGUCGUCGGCAGUUCCCGUCUUUUAAUUUCUUGGCGGCACGUUUCCUGUCGGCGGACUGUUUCGAAGACAACUCACGGCGGCGACGAGGCUAGGCGGACGAACUUGCUACCGGACCGAAGCCAGUGUGCGUGCCCGAGGCUCAUCCCGAUUUGGCUCGCCAGCGGCCACCCUUGAGGCUCCACCGAAUCGGAGCGUCCAAGGUGCGGCCCAGGACGCCAGCCCAGCGCACUGUCCUGCCAGCCUGGCGGCGCUGAUGAGGACGGGCCGUCGGGUGCCUUCGACGGAGAGCUGCGUGUCGUGCCACGCUUUUGGCUCCAGGGGCGGGGGAUGUGCUCGCACAUGCGUGGCGGGCACUUGCGUGAGGCCCGGCUUGCCUGUGGCCCUGCAGGUCUGAACGCGGUCUUGGGACGGGGCAUUGUUUCCUGCCCGUGCCAGCAAGCGCCGAGCGUCAAAGUGGAGCGAUAUCCGGGACUAAACUCUCGGACAACUUUCUGUAGCCACGCGGAUGGGCGCACGUGCGAUUGCGCAUCUUGCAGGCGCACCAAAGCCUUGCACGCGCACACCACUACUGAAAGUUGUCCGCGAGGGGGAGGGUUCCCUGCGUAGUAGUGUAGACUGGAAUCGACAGAAUAGAGGAGCUGGCUGGAUAUCGGGUGGAAAAAAAUCUGAGCUUGGCACAUACGGAGCUAAAGUUUAACAUAGAUGCAGAUUCUUUGUAGUGGAUUUUGUCCUGUAAGAUUUCGGGCAACUCUAUCUGGGAAAGAUCCAAAGACCUUUGACAGGGAUCCUUGGUCGUGCUCGAGGUAAACCGUGCAGUAACUAACCUCUGAAGUUCCGGCAUGACUGCUUCUAAGUAUUUUGGCGAGAGGCAUUCAAGCGCCCUGUCGGGACGGUCGAACGGUGUUUUAAUGCCUCCGCGAACUGUCUCUUGCAGGCAUUGCGGUAAGUUACUGGGCACGCCAAAAGCUGCUGGUAUCAGCGGGAUGCUUCCUCGUUGGUUGUAUUUCCUCGGCCACCACAACUGAGGCCUGCAUCUCGUAUUAGAGAUUCCGCAAACGUUUCUGAGCCCGAGAGACUAAGAUCGAACCAAGGUGUUUGGAAAUUUCCACGCUUAUUGCGUCCACAAAUUCUGCAAUUAACUUCGAGGUUUCGAAAGCUUCGAACUUUGUGAAUUCGAACGUCACCGCGAAUCAGAGGUGCGAACUUCGCGAAUUGGAAUGUGCAAAGUUUAAAAUUUCCAAAAAAACUCAAAACCUCCCGAGGCACAUCUGUACUCGAAUUCUGGGAACAAAUCGGAGAGGCUUGAAGUCUGCUGUAAACAAAGUAUGAUGAAAAUGUAAGUUAGCGCCGAAUUAUUUUCGAGGCGGAAGCGAUUAGCUAGAAUGACUUCGAAGUGCUAUGUAGACCACCCCUAACGCUGCAAAGGAUUUAUUCCAGCGAGCGGUCCUACCUAGGCUGUUCUAAAUCUUGCCCAAUUGGGUCCGAUCCGAGUUACUCCGGCGGGUCGUGUCACGUGACAGCGUACUGAAAAACGCUGGACCCGCUGGACGCGGGUAGGUUUUGAAACACCAAGGUACAAAAUCCUUACCUUGGAGUAAGAUUGAGUACAUUUUGGAACACGGCCCUAGAGUCUCUGGACCAGGGGCUUCGCGUUCCGAACAAAGAACCGGGACAUCGCAGCAGGCAGCGAUGUCCAGGUCCCGCCGUAGAGAUUAGGGCCCAUGUUAGCAUCAUUCUCUUCCUGUCUAAGCGUUUUACAAUGUAUACAACCAACUUGGCACCUUACAAGUACCGUCAUUCUUCCAAGCGCCGACUGCCUGACUGUGCGGGUUUUUGAAGUGAAUGGCGGCGCGCAGUAGCAGAAUGAACGGCAAGCCGCCAGGUUUUCACCGGGUAAUAUGCUUCGUCAUACGUGCUACCUGCAGACGAUAUCGAGGGAUUCGAGUCCUGUCUGCAAGUUAAUAUACUCGUUUUCACCUCAAGAACAGUAGUAAAAAAAAAGUACGGCUUCUCGCGGUGGCAUUACUAAUUUCCCUCUGGGCUGAGAAUUUUAGAUUAGAUAAAUGUUACCUUAUCAAGACGUACACGUUUCAAGCGACAGUAGCAUCGCUUUUGCCUUUGACAACCAAAUCUUGUGAGAACUACUUCGCGCGGCGCAUGAGCAUUGAGCAAAACUUCCCCUUGAGGUGAAAACUGGUAUAGUGGCGGCAACGAACACGCAUGAUGCAGCUCAUUUUGUGAGAAGAAAAUUCCUUCAAAUGGCGUCGUUAGCUUGCUCAAAUCCGCGCCAUCGUGUGAGUGGGCGCCGGGAAGCAUGUCGCCACUUGCGUAAGAAGCACGGAGUGCGCCUUUGACCCCCAUGAAGGUCAUAAGUCUGACCCGUUCCUCUUCGGUGCUACCAUGACCGCCAAAUAGCCGAGUAGAGGCCUCGGCGUGGGAGGUAAGUGGAAUUGUUCAUGGCUAAAGGAAUUGGGAACGGCGCACAAAACGACUGGGAACAACGAGAAUAGAGCACGGGCUUCGUGGUGUUUUCUUGUUUGAGCCGUUUUUAAUAAAAUUUCAGUUGAUAGUCCGCGCACGUCCCGUGCUCGACUCUCGUUGUCCUCGUAUUUUUGCGCGCUGUUACUAAUUUCUGAAGGUAAGUGGAAGGGUGCCUCUACAUGCGAGCGGCCCUUUUCAAAGUGUGCCCUCUGUUGGAAGCUGCGGAAUCACUGGACAAUGGCGGACAAAAGGCAUCGCCAAUGUUGGAACCUUGGACACUACUAAUAGACCUCGAAAUUUGCGUGCCGAUUAUUAGGUGGGAACUAAUGCAUAAUGGUGGAACAACUGACAUCGUGGAGCGUGCAAUUCAUUCCAUAAGAUGGCGAGCGUGGAACGCGGUUAACGCUAGGAACCGACGAGUCAAACCAUCGGAAGUAGGACGUCACUGCGUACGUCUCCUUUUUCUUGGAAGGUUUUCCUUCUCUAACCAAACGCAUUAACUGUUCCGUGGCGUUAAGCUUUUAGGCCGCCAUAGUUCAGGGAUUCUACAGCUGGCAGCACCGGGCAGUAUUUCGGAAGGGGUCUAUGACCCUUAAUUUCUAGCUUAUGUAGUUUUCGGAUCUCGCAUUCUGUGGUGCCGCUUGUUCCGCCAUUGUGCAGCGUUUUAUACAUUUGAACAAUGUAUACAUUUGCCCCGUACAUUUGAACAGUGUACGGGGCUUUCGUAAAGGGUCAGGCUUGACUGAUACAGUAACAUCGUUAUAUUUUCAACACGAUAAUGAGUGGCGCACUAUACUAUCCUAUCCUAGUCUUGGAGAAGACUGGUCUUGUGUGUGUGGAACGGGUCCCUCUGUUCAGCUUCGGAUAUUGGUCUGACAGGCAGCGUUAGUUGAAAUAAAACUGCGCUAAGCGAGCGUGUGGCGAUUAUGAAUAAAAUACAAGGACAGCAAAACUGGGAAAGCGGUCACGGACAACCUAGAUCUUCGUGAUCGCGCGAAAUUUUCGUACCCGAAAAUAAAUGAGAGUUUGGUACCUGAA